AAGCAGAUUUCCUUUUCUCCACAAUGUGGUCGCGGCCGUGCCAUGAAAACGGUCUUUGUGAGGGUCUACUUUGCUGCAAACCCGACAAAUGUGUUGAAAGGAGCGGGAAUCUGUUAAGUUUAGAGAUGCACUUAGCUUCUGCGGACAUCCACUCGAGUUAACAAUUGGAAAAGUAUCUAUCCAUCUGUGUGUAUAGAUAUAGUACUUAACUAAUAAUCUGACCACUUUGGCUUCAACUGCAGUCCAUUUGGCUGAGAUGCCGUCCAUUGUUACCUGUGUGGGAUGAUUGUGAGAGGUUCCUUUCCUUAUCUGCUGAAGAACUUGAGGACAUGGCAAAGGCUGAACUACAUUGCUGUCAUGCAGGUGAUUCUGUUGCAGCCGGCUGGUGAAAUCGAGUUCAAGUCAAGGUUAGCUGAAUAUUCUCGAAGUAGUCUACAUUGCUGGUGUCAUCCUGAAGAGGGGUAGCGUUACUUGCAGUGUAACAGCAACAAAGACAUCUUGAAAAGGACUUGGUGACGUUGUUAAAUGUCGAUCUUCUGCAUGCAUUUCAUGAAGCUGGUGUUAUCCAGAGGUGUUGCAGGGUGACUUGGAGCAUAGAUGCAAGAAAACCUCCAGAAAUGGAGUUGGUGGAAAUGUAAGUGGUUUGGCUGUCUGGUUCCUGUUUUAGCUGUUAUGCUUCAUCUGCUGAAAUCCUUGAAGUAGCUGAUGUUGAUAUUAUCCUUCAGUUGGUUUUAGUGGAAUUUUGGUUGUCUACGAAAAUAUUUUGUCUUAUUUGUUUUCAUCUGUGUAGUGUAUAAUUCAAACUAUUUGAUAUUUUGGUUUUCAAUGUGUUAUGUUGCAGCUUAUGGUGGUGAAAGUUCUUUGUGUAGUUGUCUUCGUCGUCUUAAAGCAAUGUUUCAAUUAUUUACUUUAUACUUGAAACCUAAU